GCCGAAGUGGUGGAAUAGGUAGACACGCAGGAUUUAGGUUCCUGUCCCGCAAGGGGUGAGAGUUCAAGUCUCUUCUUCGGCA
rnacentral:tRNA from 1 species